UAUAGAAUAAGGGUUCCUCACUUAUUACAUAUUUGCCCAUUCCUUUAUUACAUAAUUACAUUUGAGUCAUCCGAGUAUUUAUACGAGAUCUAAAUACGGAGGCCCUAAGUAUGGUACAAACAACCAUAAUAUAUUUUGAAAUAGAUUACCACUACAUCAUAGAGCUUGUCCUUUCUAAUUUACUCAAGGUUCAAUAUGUCAACACUCAGCUUCAACUGGCAAACAUUCAUACAAAGUCACUGUCCAAAGCUAGAUUUCAGUAUCUUCAAUCCAGGCUGUCACUUAGUCCUUCACCGUUCAACUAGAGAGGUGUAAAGGAACAACUCAUACUUAGAUGUUUAAUAGUUUGUUUGUGCAAUUGUAGGUUUAUUAUAACAAUUUUGUAACUAAUCCUAGUUUAGUGAGUUCAUUAGGUUUCAUUAGUCACUAAGCUUUAUUUUGACAAGUGUAUAAAUACUGUUUUGUAGUUUCUUAUUCAUUAAUUAAGAAAGAAAUACAAUUGUUUCUUCCUUUUAGUUAAAUGAUUUUAAUAUAUGGUCUAUAUCACAGCCUGUUUUGGGAUAAUUUUAUCGAUGGUGUGAAAAUACGGUUUUACCCUUAAACGUGGGUAGUAGUGUGCGUACAUAACUUAGGUUUAGGUCCAAGUUAUUUUCCUAAGUAUGUGGAACUAAUUGGAAUUAAGUUGUUUUGUUGUUUUGGUUGGUUGGAGUGGGCAAUUUUGGGCCACACACUUACUCCAACUCCCCCCUCUCUCUCUCUCUCUCUCUCUCUCAUUCCCGUGCACUCUCUCUCCUCCUUCUCGAUUUUCUUCUGUUUUCGUCAACUUUGUACGAACGAAUGCCAAACUCACAUUUCACGCACAAAUCGAUGUCAAGAAGGUAAGAUUCGAACUCCUUGCAAAUCCCUGAGUUCAUAUAUGCCAUUUUUUAAAUCGUGAAACCCUCAAAAACCUGAGAAACCAUCACCCCCGAUUUGAGUAAUGUUCAUGUGGUCAUAAUUAUAGAUGUUUCAGGGGAUUUUAAGCUCAUAGGAAGCUUUAGGACGUUUGUAUGAAGCUCGGAGAAGAAAAACCAAGCAAAUUGGACGUCGGGAAGUCGAGUUUGGAGAGUUUGAAAUUUGGCAGGAAUUAUCGAGCUCUCUCCAGCGAGUUUUCGUGGAUUUCAAGCCUUGAAAUUGUUAAGGAUGUGUUCUUCUAGUUAUAAGCUUUAAAUUGAGACCAAUUUCAUAAGUUUUGGUUAAGAAACGACAGAGAUAUAAGGAUUCUAAGAUUUUCCCAGUUUUCGGCGACGGCAACGGUUGCCGGAGUUUGAAGGUAGGGGAUGCCGGAAUAUUCCUAACGGCGUUGGUUAGUUUAACGGAUUCCGUUACUAUUGAACGGAAUAUUCCUUACGGGGUUAAGGGAUUCCGUUAGGGUCCCUGUGCAUGGCCGCGCGUAGGGCCGUGCCCUUGCCGGUGCGUGAAGGCUCCAAAAAUUAUUUAAAAAUAUAAGGAUGUUCGUGGGGUUGUGUAGGUCACGAUCGUAUAUUCAUAUACCUCAAUUGAGCAAUGUAUGAGAAGUUAUUAGCUAAUGUUGGUUAUGUGCUUUAAAUUAACGUUUUUAUAGUUGUUUCGCAAAUAUGAAGACUUAUCCUAAUGACGAGUGCAGUCAAGGGCGACUCGGGGGUUACGACCGUUCGACAUACCAGUUUUAGGUAGACUUGGUGUUGGUGGCGUACGAGGAUCUCAGCGAUUCUGACAGAAUAAAAUAUUUGUAGAACAUCUUCUGAUACUGUAUAACUAGUACUUGUCCUACUGAACUGCACCUAAACUUUCUAUGCUCUGAUUAUGAAUAUUUACACUUGUAUCUCACUCCUAGCACUUCCUGUUUAUUAGUGCACAUUGGUAGCUUUCGGUUUUUAUUUAUUCGUAUAUUUCUUUUUCUUAUUGCUUCCGCACUGUGCACAUGGCUACGUCAUCCUCACGUGACGGCCAACAUGCCUCGAUCUCGGUCGGGGUGUGUCAGUCUAAGUAUCAUAUAUGAUGACAUAUAAAUUUUCUUUUAACU